rnacentral:rRNA from 1 species
GGAUAAACGCUGGCGGCAUGCCUAAUACAUGCAAGUCGAACGGGAGUGCUUGCACUCCAGUGGCGAACGGGUGAGUAACACGUAUCUAACCUACCUUUUAGUGGGGGAUAACUUUUGGAAACGAAAGAUAAUACCGCAUAUUAAUAUCAUUAUCGCAUGAGAAGAUAUUCAAAGAUCCGUUUGGAUCGCUAAAAGAUGGGGAUGCGGCGUAUUAGUUAGUAGGCGGGGUAAUGGCCCACCUAGACAAUGAUACGUAGCCGAACUGAGAGGUUGAUCGGCCACAUUGGGACUGAGAUACGGCCCAGACUCCUACGGGAGGCAGCAGUAGGGAAUUUUUCACAAUGGACGAAAGUCUGAUGAAGCAAUGCCGCGUGAGUGAUGACGGCCUUCGGGUUGUAAAGCUCUGUUGUAAGGGAAGAAAAAAUUUGAGAGGAAAUGCUCUUAUCUUGACGGUACCUUACCAGAAAGCCACGGCUAACUAUGUGCCAGCAGCCGCGGUAAUACAUAGGUGGCAAGCGUUAUCCGGAUUUAUUGGGCGUAUAGGGUGCGUAGGCGGUUUCGCAAGUUUGAGGUUAAAGCCCGGAGCUCAACUCCGGUUCGCCUUGAAAACUGUGGGACUAGAAUAUCAGAGAGGUAAACGGAAUUCCAUGUGUAGCGGUAAAAUGCGUAGAUAUAUGGAAGAACACCAGUGGCGAAAGCGGUUUACUGGCUGAUUAUUGACGCUGAGGCACGAAAGCGUGGGGAGCAAAUAGGAUUAGAUACCCUAGUAGUCCACGCCGUAAACGUUGAGUACUAAGUAUUGGGGAUUACCUCAGUGCUGCAGCUAACGCAUUAAGUACUCCGCCUGAGUAGUAUGCUCGCAAGAGUGAAACUCAAAGGAAUUGACGGGGACCCGCACAAGUGGUGGAGCAUGUGGUUUAAUUCGAAGCAACACGAAGAACCUUACCAGGGCUUGACAUCCAGUGCAAAGCUACAGAGAUGUAGUGGAGGUAAACAUUGAGACAGGUGGUGCAUGGUUGUCGUCAGUUCGUGCCGUGAGGUGUUGGGUUAAGUCCCGCAACGAACGCAACCCUUGUCGUUAGUUACUAACAUUAAGUUGAGGACUCUAACGAGACUGCUAGUGUAAGCUAGAGGAAGGUGGGGAUGACGUCAAAUCAUCAUGCCCCUUAUGUCCUGGGCUACACACGUGCUACAAUGGCUGGUACAAAGAGUCGCAAUCUCGCGAGGGGGAGCUAAUCUCAAAAAACCAGUCUCAGUUCGGAUUGAAGUCUGCAACUCGACUUCAUGAAGCCGGAAUCACUAGUAAUCGCGGAUCAGCUAUGCCGCGGUGAAUACGUUCUCGGGUCUUGUACACACCGCCCGUCAAACCACGAGAGUUGGUAAUACCAGAAGUACGUAGCCUAACCGUAAGGAAGGCGCGUCCCAAGGUAGGACUAGCGAUUGGGGUUAAGUCGUAACAAGGUAUCCGUACGGGAACGUGCGGAUGGAUCACCUCCUUUCUAUGGAGAUAUGACAAAAACAGAUUGACUAUUAUAUGUUCUAUUUAGUUUUCAGAGAUCAUUAAAAAUGAAUCUCUGGAAAAGAGUAUUGUUCUUUGAAAACUGAAUAUUAGAUAAGCAUUGUAAAAAGAUUAAAUAAAUCAAAUCAAUUUUAACAAAUUAAUAAAUUUUACUGAAUCAAUUAUCAAUUGCUUUAAGAUUUUUUCUAAAAAAAUAGUAAGGGCACAUGGUGAAUGCCUUGGAAAAUGGAGCCGAAGAAGGACGUGAUUACCUGCGAAAAGCAUCGGGGAGCUGGAAGUAAGCUUUGAUCCGGUGAUAUCCGAAUGGGGAAACCCAAUAUGAUUAAUCUCAUAUUAUCCAUAAAUGAAUACAUAGUUUAUGAGAAGGGAACCUUGGGAACUGAAACAUCUUAGUACCAAGAGGAAAAGAAAAUAAUAAUGAUUCCGUUAGUAGCGGCGAGCGAACGCGGAAAAGGCCAAACCAGUCUACGGGCUGGGGUUGUAGGACAUCUUUUAGAGUUACAAAAUCAAUAUAUAGUAGAAGCUACUGGGAAGUAGUGGCAUAGAGGGUGAUACCCCCGUAUACGAAAUAUAUUGAUCUCGUAGAUGUAUCCUGAGUACGACGAAACACGUGAAAUUUUGUCGGAAUCCGCCGAGACCACUCGGCAAGCCUAAAUACUCCCAUUUUACCGAUAGUGAACCAGUACCGUGAGG